rnacentral:rRNA from 1 species
UACGUAGGUGGCAAGCGUUGUCCGGAAUUACUGGGUGUAAAGGGAGCGUAGGCGGGAGUGCAAGUCGGCUGUCUAAACUAUGGGCUCAACCCAUAAUCGCGGCCGAAACUGUACUUCUUGAGUGAAGUAGAGGUAAGCGGAAUUCCUAGUGUAGCGGUGAAAUGCGUAAAUAUUAGGAGGAACACCAGUGGCGAAGGCGGCUUACUGGGCUUUAACUGACGCUGAGGCUCGAAAGCGUGGGUAGCAAACAGG